rnacentral:rRNA from 1 species
AUUGAACGCUGGCGGCAUGCUUUACACAUGCAAGUCGAACGGCAGCGCGGGCUUCGGCCUGGCGGCGAGUGGCGAACGGGUGAGUAAUGCAUCGGAACGUGCCCAGUAGUGGGGGAUAGCCCGGCGAAAGCCGGAUUAAUACCGCAUACGACCUGAGGGUGAAAGCGGGGGACCGAAAGGCCUCGCGCUAUUGGAGCGGCCGAUGUCGGAUUAGCUAGUUGGUGGGGUAAAGGCUUACCAAGGCGACGAUCCGUAGCUGGUCUGAGAGGACGACCAGCCACACUGGGACUGAGACACGGCCCAGACUCCUAAGGGAGGCAGCAGUGGGGAAUGUUGGACAAUGGGGGCAACCCUGAUCCAGCCAUGCCGCGUGCGGGAAGAAGGCCUUCGGGUUGUAAACCGCUUUUGUUCGGGAAGAAAUCCUCUGGGCUAAUACCCCGGGGGGAUGACGGUACCGGAAGAAUAAGCACCGGCUAACUACGUG